rnacentral:lncRNA from 1 species
UUAUAUGGGUUAAAUUAACUUAUUAGCACAUGAAUUAAUCUAAGUUUCUAAUUGGAUUUGGUGCAAAGAUGUUUGUGCUAAUCCUAAUCCUAUUGCCUUGACCUAAUUGGAUUAGAUUUUAAUCAUAUGGUUCUCUAGUUUGGUUAACCACUUCACACAAAAGAGUUUCAUGUGAAAUGGACUUCUACACACCUUAAUGCCAUGCCAAAAUAAUUCCACACGUCUCAAUUAAUUGCGUUA